CAGCAGCCGCGGGAAUACGUAGGUGGCAAGCGUUGUCCGGAAUUAUUGGGCGUAAAGGGCUCGCAGGCGGUUUCUUAAGUCUGAUGUGAAAGCCCCUGGCUCAACCGGGGAGGGUCAUUGGAAACUGGGAAACUUGAGUGCAGAAGAGGAGAGUGGAAUUCCACGUGUAGCGGUGAAAUGCGUAGAGAUGUGGAGGAACACCAGUGGCGAAGGCGACUCUCUGGUCUGUAACUGACGCUGAGGAGCGAAAGCGUGGGGAGCGAACAGGAUUAGAUACCCGAGUAGUCCCUGUCUCUUAUAA
rnacentral:rRNA from 1 species